GGGAGGGCGUGCGCGCAAGAAGGGGGAAGGCAUCACGAGGAGCGUCGCACCGCCGCUGCUGUCCGUGCCGUCGCCGUCGCUGUUGGUCCACCUUGGAGUCGCCGUUGAAGUUGAGCCGCGGAGAGAGAGAGGGUUCGAGAGUGAGAGAGGGCUGCGGGCCUGGAACCGCCGCGUCCAGCCGUCGCCGCUUGCUUCGUCACCGCUCCUAGAGGUGGGUGGCUAAACCUCUGCCGCCUGAGCUCCACGUCACCUCUGCCGCCUAAAACCCCGCUGCCAUCGCCAGAAAACACUGCCGUUGCUGUCGCCAGAAUCCGGUCGCCGUUGUCGCAUGAGGUUGCUGCCGGGGCCAUUGCCAAACCGGUUCAGAGACCGCCGCUACUUCGUUUUCGUAUUACAGAAUUAGAAAUCGAGUUUGCAUGUUGCGUUUGGGGCUGUUCUGUUAUUGAGAAAGCAAGCGGAGCUGAAGUUUCGGUUGCCGUUGAUUUCGGGCUGAGCGAAAAGAGUUCAAUCGACACAUUUGGGUUAUGGUUUUGCUUAUCGAGGUAGGGGCUUUUUUCAAAAACUAAACUUUAUAUUUCGGAGUUGCUAUAUAUAGAUUUUGAUGUGAAAAAUGUGCUUUUAGUGAUUGUAUAAGUCUUAUGUAUUGUUUGGUUGUCUUGGAUGGAUAUGAAUGCUUGUUUGACCGGAUUGUUGUUGGGUCUUGUGAAAUAGACUGUUUUUGAAAUGUUUCUUUAAAGUUAUUUCUUCUAAAGUUUUUUAAUGGAGUUUAAUCCAUUGGAGAUUGAUUUGAGUUUGAGUUGGUUUUCUAGAAAUAUGAAAAUGGUAUGCACUUUUGGAUUCAGCUUGAUUGUGAACUGAUUUGGUUUUGAACCCGUUAAAGAAGGUUGCGAAAUAGUUUGGUUGGGACCCAAAAAGAAUGGCAAAAUCCAAGUUUUAGGGGAGAUGCUGCCGAAUUUUUAUGAAAUUUAAGAUUUUUUUUAAAAUGUGAUUUAGAAAAGGAAUGAGUUUGAGAAGUUCUAUUAUUUGGUUCUUGAUUUAUUAAGAAAUAGGUGUUUCGAGUUUAAUUUAUUUAAGAAAAGUUUAUGUUUUAAGAUUGAUUUAAAUAUGAAAGAACCUAUGUUUUGAAGUUUGAUUAAUUAAAGAAGUACCUUUGGAGAAGUUAUAGUGGACUUUUAAAAGAAAUUGAACUUUGAUUAAUUAAAUUCGUUUUGCUUUCGAAGUAUUCUUUAAAUUUUGAUUUAGCAAGACUAAACACUUCCAAGUCUUGGAAAGGUUUCCGAUUUAAGAAUAAAAUGGAAUUGGCUUUUGGGCUUAAAUAAUUUUGGUUUUGAAAGUGGUUCAGAACUUUUCGCGUACAUGCCUUGGUUUUGGUUUUAAAUAUUUAUUUUGAUCGAUUUCAAUUCAAGUAACUAUGAUUUCAAGUAUUUCUAAAAAUAUUUAAGAAAUGAGGUAGUUUAUUCUUUCCUAAAGUCAUGAUACCUUGUUAUGGAUUUUAAUUAAUAGCUUUUGAUUUCAAAGUGAUGGAGCGAAUGGUUUGAAAAUGAAUGAUUUUAAGUCUUU